rnacentral:pre_miRNA from 13 species
GUAUAUAUACACGUAUACACACAUAUGUGUAUGUAUACAUGUAUACACACAUAUAUGUGUAUAUAUAUACAUGUAUA